rnacentral:rRNA from 1 species
UACGUAGGGAGCAAGCGUUGUCCGGAUUUACUGGGCGUAAAGCGCUUGUAGGCGGUCCACCAAGUUUGGGGUGACAGUUGCCGACUUAAUCGGCAAAGUGCCUCAAAGACUGGCGGACUUGAGGGCCACAGAGGGACAUGGAACUCCAGGUGUAGUGGUGAAAUGCGUAGAUAUCUGGAAGAACACCAAAGGCGAAGGCAGUGUCCUGGGUGGUCGCUGACGCUGAGAGGCGAAAGCCAGGGGAGCGAACGGG